rnacentral:rRNA from 1 species
UACGAAGGGGGCUAGUGUUGUUCGGAAUUACUGGGCGUAAAGCGCACGUAGGCGGAUUGUUAAGUGAGGGGUGAAAUCCCAGGGCUCAACCCUGGAACUGCCUUUCAUACUGGCGAUCUUGAGUUCGAGAGAGGUGAGUGGAAUUCCGAGUGUAGAGGUGAAAUUCGUAGAUAUUCGGAGGAACACCAGUGGCGAAGGCGGCUCACUGGCUCGAUACUGACGCUGAGGUGCGAAAGCGUGGGGAGCAAACAGG